UUUCUGCGUCAUCAUUCAAGUGAUUGGUUGCUCUUUUUCUCCUGCCGAGAAAGAGCGUUUGCCCUCCAGUUGGGGAAGCGAAAUUUUGAAACAGCAACUGGAAUUAUUGUCGAGGAAUUAUAUUAUUUAGGUGCGUCAUCUCGAUUUUUUUCAAUAUUUUUAUUCCCAUCGAUCGAUGUAGUAUUUUUUGAUUUUUUAACGGAUUCCGUCGUCAGAUCAAUAGAAUUUUUAUGAAAUUUAUCAACUCUUUGAUAAUUUAAUUGAAUCAAAGAAGGAGGAGAAGGAGGAGGAGGAGGUCGAGUGAUAAUUUCACUUUCAUUGCGUGGCGAAUGAAAAAAUCUAUCUAAUUGAAUCGAUGUUCUAUACACUUUUUCACUAUUUGAAAAUUGCGUUUUUACACACAAGAAACUAUAAUGAACUUUAGUUUAAAACUAACACACUUUGAAAAAUUACAAAGAACAGUUCAGAGACCAUAACUGAGCUAUUAUUUCAAGUAGAGAGAAGAGACAUGAG